rnacentral:lncRNA from 1 species
AAAUCACAACACACAAUUAAUAAAAAUAAUAUAUUUUUAUCAACAAAUGAUUUGAUGUAAUGGUAAAACAUAUUGCACUUUUAAAGAGAGAAUAUAAAUUUAAAUCUCGGAGAUGAGAUUUUGAAAGAGACAAAAAAACAUGAAAAAUACAAAAAAAAAAAACAUAUUUACCAUAUUUAUAUAGAGUAUCUACCACCUUCUCCCACUUGCAACUUCUUUUUUU